GAAAGGUUUCGGCCGGACAGAGAUGGGCAUGCGGCGCAUUAGGCAGUUGGCGGGGUAACGGCCCACCAAACCGACGAUGCGUAGGGGUUCUGAGAGGAAGGUCCCCCACACUGGUACUGAGACACGGACCAGACUCCUACGGGAGGCAGCAGUGAGGAAUAUUGGUCAAUGGCCGGAAGGCUGAACCAGCCAAGCCGCGUGAAGGACGAAGGUGCUAAGCAUUGUAAACUUCUUUUGUCAAGGGACAAAAUCAGGCUCGAGAGCCUGACCGAGGGUACUUGAAGAAAAAGCAUCGGCUAACUCCGUGCCAGCAGCCGCGGUAAUACGGAGGAUGCGAGCGUUAUCCGGAUUUAUUGGGUUUAAAGGGUGCGUAGGCGGGCUGUUAAGUCAGCGGUAAAAGCCCGGGGCUCAACCCCGGCGAGCCGUUGAAACUGGCGGUCUUGAGAGGCCGAGAGGUAUGCGGAAUGCGCAGUGUAGCGGUGAAAUGCUUAGAUAUUGCGCAGAACUCCGAUUGCGAAGGCAGCAUACCGGCGGCGAUCUGACGCUGAGGCACGAAAGCGUGGGUAUCGAACAGGAUUAGAUACCCUGGUAGUCCACGCAGUAAACGAUGAAUACUGGCUGUGUGGCCCGACAGAGGGCU
rnacentral:rRNA from 1 species